rnacentral:rRNA from 1 species
AGUGAACGCUGGCGGCGUGCCUAAUACAUGCAAGUCGAACGGAAUUUAAAAGAGCUUGCUCUUUUGAAUUUAGUGGCGCACGGGUGAGUGAUAUAUAGCUAAUCUGCCCCUUGCUGGAGGACAACAGUUAGAAAUGACUGCUAAUACUCCAUACUCCUUUUUACCAUAAGAUAAAUCGGGAAAGAAUUUCGGCAAGGGAUGAGACUAUAUCGUAUCAGCUAGUCGGUGGGGUAACGGCCUACCGAGGCUAUGACGCGUAACUGGUCUGAGAGGAUGAUCAGUCACAUUGGAACUGAGACACGGUCCAAACUCCUACGGGAGGCAGCAGUAGGGAAUAUUGCGCAAUGGGGGGAACCCUGACGCAGCAACGCCGCGUGGAGGAUGACACUUUUCGGAGCGUAAACUCCUUUUGUUAGGGAAGAAUAAUGACGGUACCUAACGAAUAAGCACCGGCUAA